CCCACUCUAGCUCAGCCCGGAAGAGCACUCGGCUGUAGACCGAGAUGUCGCCGGAUCAAAGCCGGCGAGUGGGACCA
rnacentral:tRNA from 1 species